rnacentral:rRNA from 1 species
GACGAACGCUGGCGGCGUGCUUAACACAUGCAAGUCGAACGGAAAGGCCUGCUUUCCCUUGUGGAUUGCGGGUACUCGAGUGGCGAACGGGUGAGUAACACGUGAGUGAUCUGCCCCCAACUUGGGUAUAAGCCUGGGAAACUGAGUCUAAUUCCCGAUAGGACUGCAGGGUGGUGCCUGUGGUGGAAAACGAUUUUCUAGUGGUUGGGGAUGAGCUCGCGGCCUAUCAGCUUGUUGGUGGGGUAAUAGCCUACCAAGGCGGCGACGGGUAGCCGGCCUGAGAGGGUGGACGGCCACAUUGGGACUGAGAUACGGCCCAGACUCCUACGGGAGGCAGCAGUGGGGAAUAUUGCACAAUGGGCGGAAGCCUGAUGCAGCGACGCCGCGUGGGGGAUGACGGCCUUCGGGUUGUAAACUCCUUUCGACCGCGAGGAAGCCACCUGGUUGGAAGGGUGGUGACGGUAGUGGUAGAAGAAGCACCGGCUAACUACGUG